UCUUAUGAUAUGGUGACUCUAAUGAGGCUGCUGCUUGGCUGGCAGCUAAAGCACUUGAUGCUUCCUUUAUGUUUUCAGGAGAUGAUGUUCUGCCCUCUCAAUUGUAUUAUAUUUUGCAUUUAGAUGCUUAUGGCAUUCCUUUUAACUGUUCUGUUUAAUGGCAGCCUCUCUUUUGUUAGCUUUGGGUGCAUAUUUGAUUCUAUGGGAUCUUAUAUGCAAUAGCAACUCUCUCGUUUCUCAAUGAUUAUUCUAUCUAUUGGUUAUCUCCGUUCUUUUAUUGUCACAAUCAAAGAUCUUAUCCAAAAAAAUUAGUCAGAAAGUAUUAUCUAGAUUCUUUAGCUUUGUAUAAAUACCAAAGAUCUAUUCAAUAUAUAGCUGAUGUGAGCCAAAAUAUACAUCCGCAUGGAUCUUCAAAUACUCUUCUUAUUUAAAUUCUGAUGUCUUUACCAAACAAAGGA
rnacentral:lncRNA from 1 species